rnacentral:rRNA from 1 species
AUUGAACGCUGGCGGCAUGCUUUACACAUGCAAGUCGAACGGCAGCGCGGGCUUCGGCCUGGCGGCGAGUGGCGAACGGGUGAGUAAUACAUCGGAACGUGCCCAGUAGUGGGGGAUAGCUCGGCGAAAGCCGGAUUAAUACCGCAUACGACCUGAGGGUGAAAGCGGGGGAUCUUCGGACCUCGCGCUAUUGGAGCGGCCGAUGGCAGAUUAGCUAGUUGGUGGGGUAAAGGCCUACCAAGGCGACGAUCGGUAGCUGGUCUGAGAGGACGACCAGCCACACUGGGACUGAGACACGGCCCAGACUCCUACGGGAGGCAGCAGUGGGGAAUUUUGGACAAAGGGCGAAAGCCUGAUCCAGCAAUGCCGCGUGUGUGAUGAAGGCCUUCGGGUUGUAAAGCACUUUUGGCGGGAACGAAAAGGACUGUGCCAAUACCACGGUUCGAUGACGGUACCCGCAGAAUAAGCACCGGCUAACUACGUG